CGGCCGCGCGCCGCUCAAGGCCGAGCGCGCCGCGCCGCUCCACGCCCCUGCCGCCUCCGCCGCCGCCUCUCGCGGCGCGCCCAGGACCUUCUUCCCCCAACAGAGGUCCCAAAGCGAAAAACAGACCUAUUUGGAAGAGAUGCAUUUAGAAGACAGCACCAGAUUCUGUCCAAAGGAAGAAAGAGAAAGUGAACAAACAUCUUUCAGCGAUCAAAACCCCAGACAAGACCAGAAAGGGGGCUUUCGCAGCUCCUUCCGCAAGCUCUUUAAAAAGAAAAAUGGGAACGCAACUGGUGAAGAUUUCUGUGGUCCUUGGGGCUGGUGGUGACAUCAAAGCUUUCCCAUUUCCAGGUCCAGUGGAUCAGAAUACAGGGAAAAAACUAAUGAGAAUCCCUCAAUGGAUCCUUCACCCACCAAACAAGAUUUCUUCAGAAACCGACUUGCUCUUGCAAAUGACCUUGACCAAGGAACAGCUGUGUAAAACAUACUUAAAAGUUGUAUUGUCAAGUGGUAAGAUGAGGAUAAAAAGCUUGUUUUUAUCUGUGUAGGAAUAUUUAUAUAUAUUGAUGUAUAAAUCCCUGAGAACUAAUAUAAAUAUUUACAUAUGAAACUAAAUCAACAUACAAGAUAUUGAAGAGAUGAAGAUUAGUCUAUACUUAAGAGCUGGCUUUGAAUCUUAACACUUGGGAAAAGGGAAACGAAGAUCUUUUACAACAUUACAGAAAAACAAUAAAUUUGGAGGAAAAUAAACGUUUGUAAUAACAAAAACUUCCACCUUGAAGUCAUUCCCCCAGUACAAUAUUGAGCAUGUUCAUAUUUAACAUGGAUGUGAAUUUUAUGCUUCCUAAGCAUUUAACUUAUUAAUGCACCCCAGUGUUCUUAAACUAAUGCACACUAUGUUAGGGACCAAUUCUGUCCUGCCACCUGUUUUCUAAAACCCCAAGGCAAUACCUAACAUCCCUUAAGGUGAAGAAUUAAUUAACAGAACUGCAUUUUACAAGUUAUAAACCUGAGUUGUGAGAAUGUGUCUUAAACCAUAAUAUAGAAGGUUCAAAGCCUAAAGUCACAUUGCUCUCUUAACAUGACCAGAACCUUAAGAGUAGUAUUAAUUUCACUUCUGUGGUUAUAGAAUUCAGUAAAGGGAACAAAGGUUUCUCAAGAAGCUAGAGGACCAAAGAAACAUUUACUUUUGUGGGCUUUGCUGAAGAUGGGAGCUGUUCAGGGUCUGUGCUUUAUUGAGAACUUAGGAUUCAAAUAUCGACCAGGGAUCCUGAGAGUUAUGAACACUCAUGACCAGACGGGCUGGAAAAAAAGGCGUUGAGCUAGGCACAUCCUCUUAAAAAAAGGCUUCCUUCAGCCUGAAGAGGAGGUAGGAACACAACCAGUGCUUUAAUGGCUCCCAUUCAGUGAUUGCUAUAAACACCAGAAGGUCAAAAUGAAAAUUCAGGGCUGGCAGUUCUUGUUUCCUAGAAGUGCAUUGUAAAGAAACAAACCCCUUACAGCAGGGUUUCUUAACGAGUCUGUGAGCUUCAAGUGAAAUUCAACAAAACAUUAUUCUUGUGGGGACGUGUGAUAUAUUUAUUAAAUAAUACACAGUAUAAUGUGAACUUAAGGGGUCUGUGGUUUUCACCUGACUGGCAAAGGGGUUCGCAGAACAAAAAAGGUUAAGAACCCCUGCCUUACAGUUAAGAUAAAGGAAUCAUAUGGAAUGAAGCCUGCCUGGCUCUUGGGUAAUAAAAUGUACUCUCUUUCUG
rnacentral:lncRNA from 1 species